rnacentral:rRNA from 1 species
AUUAAACGCUGGCGGCAUGCCUUACACAUGCAAGUCGAACGGCAGCACGGGGGCAACCCUGGUGGCGAGUGGCGAACGGGUGAGUAAAGCAUCGGAACGUGCCCUGGAGUGGGGGGAUAACGUAGCGAAAGUUACGCUAAUACCGCAUAUUCUGUGAGCAGGAAAGCAGGGGAUCGCAAGACCUUGCGCUCUGGGAGCGGCCGAUGUCGGAUUAGCUAGUUGGUGGGGUAAAGCCUACCAAGGCGACGAUCCGUAGCGGGUCUGAGAGGAUGAUCCGCCACACUGGGACUGAGACACGGCCCAGACUCCUACGGGAGGCAGCAGUGGGGAAUUUUGGACAAUGGGCGAAAGCCUGAUCCAGCCAUGCCGCGUGAGUGAAGAAGGCC